AACCCAUGGUGAGGGCACCUUCUCAAUAAGUCCUUGUAUCUCUCCCAUGCAUCAUAAAGAGUUUCUAAAUCCAUCUGCACAAAAAAAAAAGAUAUCAUUCCUCAAUUU
rfam:Gossypium hirsutum cultivar TM-1 chromosome 13, whole genome shotgun sequence